CCCUAAAACGUACGUCUCAGUUCGGAUUGCAGGCUGCAACUCGCCUGCAUGAAGCCGGAAUCGCUAGUAAUCGCAGAUCAGAAUGCUGCGGUGAAUACGUUCCCGGGUCUUGUACACACCGCCCGUCACACCAUGGGAGUCGAUAACGCCCGAAGUCAGUGACCCAACCGAGAGGAGGGAGCUGCCGAAGGCGGGAUGGAUAACUGGGGUGAAGUCGUAACAAGGUAGC
rnacentral:rRNA from 1 species